GAGUGGCCUGCCUGGCUCAGGCUCCCUGGAGCAGCCAAUGGGAGGAGGUGGCCAGUUCGUGGUACAGGAAGUCGUUCCCACUUGGAGAACUCUGAGAGGGACUCGGCCAGGAUGCAGAGACAGGUGGGGCGCUGUGCCAUCUCAUGUCUGGGCCGGGCCGGGCCAUCUGCAGGCCACCCGCGGAGUGUCUGCCUCUCAGGUGCUCUGACCCGGUGUGUCCCAGCAGCUGUGACCAUGAGGUAUGCGCCAAAAGUCAAGAAGCCAAAAGCCACACCUGCUGCAGAAGUUCGCAGCACCUCGAUUGCUGGUGUCCCUCAGGACCCCAGAAGAGAACACAGGCCCUCAAGAACCCGAGAGGACUCCCGACUUCCCCAGGGUGCUCACCCUUCGCACACAGAAGCCCCCACGAACCCUCCUGCCAUCUUUCAUUCUCCUAAGCGGGAAAAAUCCAUGAGAGGAGGAAGAAGAAAGAGAUUCUCAUGCAGUCCACUCUGCCACCUGAGGCCAGCAAUGAGACUGCUAAAGUCUCCCAGGGUGGACAAGUGGUGUCACAGCCGGCCAGUGUCAUUGUCUCCAGGAAGAGUGGCAAGAACCUGGAGGAAGAGGGAUCAGCUGUCACGGAGCUGGAAGACACAGAGGACUGAAGUGUGCAAAGAGGAAGUGGAGAACAGGGAAAUGUCCCUGAGACACACAGCUGUGACCCCUGGUGGGGCCAUAUGGAGUGGCCA
ensembl:lncRNA